GACGAACGCUGGCGGCGUGCUUAACACAUGCAAGUCGAACGGAAAGGCCCCUUUGGGGGUACUCGCGUGGCUAACGGGUGAGUAACACAUGAGUGACCUGCCCUUCCCUUCGGGAUAACUUAAUGAAACUGGGGCGAAUACCGGAUAGGAAUCCUUUCCUGCUGCAUGGGGGUGGAAAGCUUCUGUGGGUUUGGGUGGACGUACGGGUUAUCAGCCUGGUUGUGGGGUAGUGGGUUACCAAGGGUUUGACUGGUGGCCGGCCUGAGAGGGGGAGCGGCCACAUUGGGACUGGGAUAAGGCCCAGACUCCUACGGGAGGCAGCAGUGGGGAAUAUUGCACAAUGGGCGGGAGCCUGAUGCAGCAAAGCCGCGGGCGGGAUGACGGCCUUCGGGUUGUAAACCGCUUUCAGCAGGGGCGAAGCUUGUGGUGACGGUACCUGCAGAAGAAGCACCGGCUAACUACGUG
rnacentral:rRNA from 1 species